CGUCGGUCUCUCCGAUGAUAGCUAUUCAUUCAUUAUUUCCUUUGACUCUCGAGCUGCCCUAGCCCUAGCUAAAUCGUACAAUGAAUGGUUUAUUCUAUAUGAUUUGUAUGCUGUCAAUUUCUCUCGCACCACCCGUCUCAGACACCAUAGGAUGCCUUGAAGGCCUAAUCCGUAAAGAAACGAUACGAUGUAAAAACAUUUCAACCAGAGAUGGAUAUUAUAAAUACCCCUGGCCUUGGGUUGAAGUGUGUGAUAUUGAGCAUGAAGUUUACGCCGACGAUCAGAUGAUACUGGCUAACGGUAUUGGUGAAUUCCCUCAACAAAAACUCUGUCGAAACCUGACAGUGAAAUGCUUGUACACAAGUGAUGGCAAAAAUAAAGAAUUCUGCGCGAAAUUUGUCAUCGAUCACUCAUCUUCUGCUUCCUCUUUAUUAGACCCAGGAAAACCUAAACAACAGUUAAACAACACAAGUGAACAGACUGACACAGACUCAGUGAAAAAUGAAACAUCACCCACGGAUCAACAUACCCAGCCAGGUGAUGUUUUUUUUCCCCUUUCUGUUGGACGUUUCCAUGACAUCAGGUUCCAUUACAUUAUCUAGUUGUGUGACCGUCAAGUGUCGAACUGUGAGAGAUUUCAUGUCAUAUUCAAUGAUGCCAUACAUGUAGCUGAGGCUAUUUUUUG